rnacentral:RNase_P_RNA from 1 species
UAAGAAGAAGGGACUGCCGCCGGUGGCGUUAAAAACCACGGGAGGAAGGUCUGGACACCGUAAGGCAUCGUAGCGGGUAACGCCCGUCCACCGUGAGGUGAGGACCAGUGCAACAGAAAGUAUGUAUGGCGAAAGGCAACUUUCGUGCGUAGUGAAACCAGGUAAACUCUACGAGGUGCAAGCCCACAUAGGUUAGCAUUUGAUGUCCGCCUGACAGACGCUAACGGGUAGGGUGCUUGAGGUCUUCGGUAACGGAGAUCCUAGAAGAAUGGUAGUCGAAAACAGAAUCCGGCCUAUGCUUUUUCUUAGCCC